rnacentral:rRNA from 1 species
CCUACGGGAGGCAGCAGUGAGGAAUAUUGGUCAAUGGGCGUAAGCCUGAACCAGCCAAGUCGCGUGAGGGAUGAAGGUUCUAUGGAUCGUAAACCUCUUUUAUAAGGGAAUAAAGUGCGGGACGUGUCCCUUUUUGUAUGUACAUUCUGAAUAAGGAUCGGCUAACUCCGUGCCAGCAGCUGCGGUAAUACGGCGGGUCCGAUCGUUAUCCGGUGUUAUUGGGUUUAAAGGGGGCGUAGGCGGCCUUUUAAGUUAGCGGUGAAAGUCUGUGGCUCAACCAUAGAAUUGCCGUUGAAACUGGGAGGCUUGAGUAUGUUUGAGGCAGGCGGAAGGCGUGGUGUAGCGGUGAAAUGCUUAGAUAUCACGCAGAACCCCGAUUGCGAAGGCAGCCUGCCAAGCCAUGACUGACGCUGAUGCACGAAAGCGUGGGGAUCAAACAGGAUUAGAUACCCUAGUAGUC